CUAACGGCCUACCAAGGCUACGAUGGUUAGCUGGUCUGAGAGGAUGAUCAGCCACACUGGAGCUGACACACGGUCCAGACUCCUACGGGAGGCAGCAGUGGGGAAUUUUGCGCAAUGGGGGAAACCCUGACGCAGCAACGCCGCGUGAGUGAUGAAGGCUUUCGGGUCGUAAAGCUCUGUCAAGUGGGAAGAACCUGUCCGAUGUCAAUACCAUCGGGCACUGACGGUACCACUGAAGGAAGCACCGGCUAACUCCGUGCCAGCAGCCGCGGUAAUACGGGGGGUGCAAGCGUUAUUCGGAAUCAUUGGGCGUAAAGGGCGCGUAGGCGGCCUCUUAAGUCAGAUGUGAAAGCCCGGGGCUUAACCCCGGAAGUGCAUUUGAAACUGAGAAGCUUGAGUAUGGGAGAGGGAAGUGGAAUUCCUGGUGUAGAGGUGAAAUUCGUAGAUAUCAGGAGGAACACCGGUGGCGAAGGCGACUUCCUGGACCAAUACUGACGCUGAGGCGCGAAGGCGUGGGUAGCAAACAGGAUUAGAUACCCUGGUAGUCCACGCAGUAAACGUUGUUCACUAGGUGUAGCGGGUAUUGACCCCUGCUGUGCCGCAGUUAACGCAUUAAGUGAACCGCCUGGGAAGUACGGCCGCAAGGUUAAAACUCAAAGGAAUUGACGGGGGCCCGCACAAGCGGUGGAGCAUGUGGUUUAAUUCGACGCAACGCGAAGAACCUUACCUGGGUUUGACAUCCCGAGAAGUCUCUUGAAAGAGAGAUGUGCCCUUCGGGGAGCUCGGAGACAGGUGCUGCAUGGCUGUCGUCAGCACGUGUCGUGAGAUGUUGGGUUAAGUCCCGCAACGAGCGCAACCCUUAUCUUUAGUUACCAGCAUUCAGUUGGGGACUCUAAAGAUACUGCCCCGGUUAACGGGGAGGAAGGUGGGGAUGACGUCAAGUCCUCAUGGCCCUUAUACCCAGGGCUACACACGUGCUACAAUGGGCUGUACAAAGGGUCGCAAACCCGCGAGGGCGAGCUAAUCCCAUAAAGCAGCUCUAAGUUCGGAUUGGAGUCUGCAACUCGACUCCAUGAAGCUGGAAUCGCUAGUAAUCGUGGAUCAGCACGCCACGGUGAAUACGUUCCCGGGCCUUGUACACACCGCCCGUCACACCAUGAGAGUUGGUUGUACCAGAAGUUGUUGGACCAACCCGCAAGGGGGGUAAGCACCUAAGGUAUGGCUGAUGAUUGGGGUGAAGUCGUAACAAGGUA
rnacentral:rRNA from 1 species